UAGCUUGGACCUUACUACAAGGAUCCUCGGUGUGAUAAUUGUCUACGCCGUGUGGGACUUGUUGCGUGUGUUACCCUGCUUUCGGGCGGUCGUGUAGCCGCGGGCCACUCGUGGGCCUGAGACUCCAGCUUCUAAUCGUCUUCGGACAAACACAUAAGACAUCUGACCUCAAAUCAGGUAGGAUUACCCGCUGAACUUAA
rnacentral:misc_RNA from 1 species